UUUUGUACAAUUCAGACUGCGCGAUUUGUUUAGUGGAAAAUGUACAUAAAUAGCUAAUUGUUGUGUGAACAAAUGGCUGUAUUUAAGACAUUCAGAACAAAAUGUCAUUAAAAUUAUUUUUAAUUUGUUAAUAAAUUGACGACGAUUAAAUUUGAAAAGAUCAACAAAACUCAAGAGCCUACAAUGCGUUUGGAAGAAAGAACCGCUGAAAACUAAUCAAAGCAAUUUUACAAUGAGCUUCACAAUUUUUUAUCAGCUUCAAAGUGUUCAAGUUGAAUCAAAAUCAGUCUUUGUAAGGUUUGCAAAUGAAAACAAAAUCCUCAGAGGAAUGUGUCUUUGUUUACGUUGAGGCUAUUUAGAAUAAACUGUACAAAAAUGGUAGGUCGAUAGUUUAAUGUUUUUGAUACAGCCGACAAUACUAACUUAGAAACAUAUUCCAUAACAACUGUUAUCAAUCAAAAAACUCUGAGAAGGUGAAUGUGACACAAGUCCUAAAGUCCAUAUAAAAUGUCAGAUUCUGAUACGUUUCUUUCGAUUCGUUGUUUUCAAAGUGGUUACAAAUACAAAAACAGCUGCGUAGCUCUAGUGUGACGAAGUCAAUUCGAAAUAGCUACGAAAAGCAUGAGUGAAUAGACAUCGUUGUGUUCAUGCUUGAAGCUGGAGAGCUAUGCAAACCAAUGAAACGUCAACACCAGGUAUGGUCGAAUGUCAAACUUUGUAUGGAGCGGAGGACAUAGCGAUUUCAUAUAAACAAAAUCACCUCCCAUGAGAGUGCGUUGCUUACACGCUAAUCAGCAAAUAUGGUUCAACAAAGAAAUAGUCCUAAUUUUUGUGGCAACAUCCUUGCUAUCACAGCUGAAUACGGCCUAACACAUGCAUUACACUGUAAUACAAUUUUUGGGAAUUAAUUUUGGGAUAAAUUGGAAAGU